UUAUUCACGCCGCGUCUCGUUAUGCAGGUCACGGCCGUGAAUAGAGAGGAGAAUUGUGCCUUUUUACAACGCGCACAAUGUACUACGUGGACGACCGAUUCACUGAUCGAGCAUUUGCGUAUCGGCAUGGCUUGGUGUCUUCGUACCAGGAGCCAGGCCUCAUGGUUCUACCAACAGCGCUCUAAGUGAAGUCAUCAAGAACUUUAUUGACAAGUCCUGAGGAGUUUAAGCCGCCGGGGAAUCCACGAGGGACACCCUAGCAGCCGCUACCGUAGGCGACGCCCGAGUCGGGGCGGGAACGUGGUGGCGUUCCGCCAGUUCUUGGGCCCUCCAGACUGCCUUGAGUUGGGGGUGGAGCUCGGAGCUACUGAGUGCCUCUUCCCAGUCGAACUAACUGGUGACUGGUCCCCGAGGAUCCGGAGAGUAGCAGAAUUCGCGACGUGUCCUGCGCUGCCCAGGGGUUCAGCUGUUUCGACAAUGCUUCGCAGCGGCUCGGUUACCCAUACCAGCGUACUUGGUGUCUUCUCCAUCUGGUACUCUGGGGUUCUGUCGAUCAAGUGUUCUGCACGACCGAGCGUGCUUGUCAGCGAGUUGCGUUCUCACCGCAAUCGAGAUGUUCAACCAUU